CCUCGAGGCUUCAGCACCCUCUAUUUUUCCAUGGUAAAAACUUCGUGGCAUUCAACCCCCUUCUUCCCAUCAGCACUUCUCCAUACCGAAUUGUAAUUAACGACAUGAGAAAGCAGCACUCAAGAAAUAAUGGAUCGCGUCGAUGGAGAAAUUUAAUGAAUAUUAUCAACUUUUGAAUGAACCUGUACACCUAUAGGAGACAACCUUACUGCUAAUAUUCUCAAGUGAAUAUCCACCCUGAUGUACAAGUAAUUAUGCGGUUCCUUGUCGAUGCAAUAGCCAACCACCUGAUACGCAUCCAUGUAGCAGCAUCCAUGGAGCUAUGAAAUUUCUGUACAGUCAAGCACAUGCACAUUAUACAUCCUCAUGUAUAAAAUACAGUUAGAGCCGUAGGCGACAAUCUACCCUUACGUAUCGUGAUGCUUACCUAUUAGGAUACAUUACAUUCUGCGUGGUAAGGGCGAAAAAAGAGAGGGAAGAAUAGAACAGAAAAAAAGAAGAACAGCGAUAAGGUCAUCUAUCGCAAAUCGAAUCUCAGUGACUCCUAUCGCACCACUCUCCCUCAAGAAGAGAAAAAACGAUUGUUGAUAUCGACUACGUCUGUUUAUUGGAAGAUUUUAUGUU